CUCCACAGAGCAACAGAAUUGUAAUGUUUCCUCUUCUAUGUCUUCCUCACAAAGUAAAAUCCACUAGGACCUAAUAUGUGCUCUAUUCAGUAAAUGCCUCCGUAUGAUCUGAUAUACUGCAUGCCUGCCAAUAGGAAUACAUUUUUGGAUAUAAGGAAGGGCUGCCUCUUCUCUUCUGAAAUUAACUCUUCAUAUAGAAACACCUACUCUGUCAUAUUGAGAGUUAUUGACUCCAGAGUUACUGACACUGGUCCAGAGGAGCAUCUGAGGGGUUAGCAUAAUGCCAGUAACAGAGAUAGAAGCUAAGAAGUGCAUGUAUUAACAACAUCAGUUGUAUUACUUUCAUUAUUAUGACCUUUUCUAUAUGAUUCUAUGAUAUAAGCACUCUGCCCACGUGUCUGCUUUUCUGUAAUAAUUAGAACUAGAUUAAUGAUGAUUUCUGAAUUAGACUGUUGAGAUUUAAAUUAUGCUAACAAUAUAUUCUUGGCUUAAAUUAAUGCAUAUAUAAGAUAUGCUUCCUCUACACCCAUAAGAAAUAUUUGAAUGUAAUAGAAUUCAACCUACCUUACCACUGCUGCCCUUUCUGUCUUGCUGUUCUAACUUCUAGUUGACAUAAAUGGACAAGUAGCCAGCUCAUAGAGCUGACACCACUUGGUAUUCAGCAAAAUGUCUGCGUACAGAGGAGAGAUCUGAUGUCAGUACAGUAAUCUGUAUUCUCACGUUAGUGUUUUUGUUUCAAUCAGGAGUGAAGCUUAAGGGAGGAUCUUACAAUAACUCUGAUGUGUUAUACUUUGGUUUCUGUUGCGGAGCUUGGAAGAUCACAAACUGAAUUCUGCUGGGAAAAAAUUAGGUAAGAAGAGGUUAGGGCCUCACCAAAAGCACUCCAGCUGGAAAUGGCCAUGCAGACCGUGGCACUAGGUUAGAGUAAUACUAAGCAAAAAGCUUCGAGAUACGAAGAGUAUGAGAACAACAUCCAUAAAAACAACCCUUGUUUACUGCAGGUCCAAUUCUGCUGCUCCAAGUUAUAUCUUAAAUUAGAAACAGAAUGUGUUUCUGGCAAAAACUGGUGAGGUUUUCUACCUCCUACAUGUCAACAGUGCUCAAGAAGCUUAGACACAUGACCUUCUUUCCAAAUUCCCUGCCUUCUUGCACCAAGGAACAUUUGUUCCUUUGCUCUGAUAAAUGCCUGAGUUGCUGAUGACAGUAUCAUUUAACUCUCCAAAUGAAGCAUUUGAUUGGAUAGGCAAAAUCCCUCAUGGAGACCAGA
rnacentral:lncRNA from 1 species